GAUGAACGCUGGCGGCGUGCUUAACACAUGCAAGUCGAACGGUGAACGAGGGAGCUUGCUCCCUCCGGAUCAGUGGCGAACGGGUGAGUAACACGUGAGCAAUCUGCCCUGGACUCUGGGAUAAGCGUUGGAAACGACGUCUAAUACCGGAUACGAGGCGUGGGGGCAUCCCCAACGCCUGGAAAGAACUUCGGUCCAGGAUGAGCUCGCGGCCUAUCAGCUAGUUGGUGAGGUAACGGCUCACCAAGGCGACGACGGGUAGCCGGCCUGAGAGGGUGACCGGCCACACUGGGACUGAGACACGGCCCAGACUCCUACGGGAGGCAGCAGUGGGGAAUAUUGCACAAUGGGCGCAAGCCUGAUGCAGCAACGCCGCGUGAGGGACGACGGCCUUCGGGUUGUAAAGCUCUUUUCUCCGGGACGAUAAUGACGGUACCGGAGGAAUAAGCCCCGGCUAACUUCGUGCCAGCCGCCGCAGUAACAC
rnacentral:rRNA from 1 species